GAUCAGGUAGGGAUACCCGCUGAACUUAAGCAUAUCAAUAAGCGGAGGA
rnacentral:rRNA from 2 species